CUCACCCUGACAGUGUGGGCCUGUCCCAGCCGUACAGGAUUGGCCAGCUUGACCUGGAUCUGAGCACAGUGGAAGGAGCCGAACACGCCCACCACCUCCAGCAGACCAUCAUCCAACCUGCAGGGGGAGACGGGAAUUCACCGUUAGUUGCCACGGUUUCCCGGAGCACUUGCUAUAAACCCUUCACUCUAUCCCAAAUCAAAGACUGGCCCACCUGUCCAUUUUGACCACCUCGGCAUCGAGGAUGUUACGGAGAACCUGUUCCACAGGGAUCUCCCCAGCAUAGCCAGCACCCCAGCCCAAAGUGUUGGACAGGUCAUUUCCUGUCCCCAGAGGCAGGAUGGUCACCCUUGGCAUGAACUGGUCCUGGCCCUGACACAGGAGAGUAGAAGAGCAGCAGAGACAGUCCCAUCUGACCUUCAGCUUCAUAGUAUCGAUGGCAUCCAGCACCCAGCCCACUGUGCCGUCACCCCCACACACCAG